UACGUAGGGUGCGAGCGUUGUCCGGAAUUACUGGGCGUAAAGAGCUCGUAGGUGGUUUGUCGCGUUGUUCGUGAAAACUCACAGCUUAACUGUGGGCGUGCGGGCGAUACGGGCAGACUGGAGUACUGCAGGGGAGACUGGAAUUCCUGGUGUAGCGGUGGAAUGCGCAGAUAUCAGGAGGAACACCAGUGGCGAAGGCGGGUCUCUGGGACGGUAUUGACGCUAAGGCGCGAAAGCGUGGGGAGCGAACAGG
rnacentral:rRNA from 1 species